GGGAAUAUUGCGCAAUGGAGGAAACUCUGACGCAGUGACGCCGCGUAUAGGAAGAAGGUUUUCGGAUUGUAAACUAUUGUCGUGAGGGAAGAAAUUGACAGUACCUCAGGAGGAAGCUCCGGCUAACUAUGUGCCAGCAGCCGCGGUAAUACAUAGGGAGCAAGCGUUAUCCGGAUUUACUGGGUGUAAAGGGAGCGUAGACGGCAGCGCAAGUCUGGAGUGAAAUGCCGGGGCCCAACCCCGGAACUGCUUUGGAAACUGUGCAGCUCGAGUGCAGGAGAGGUAAGCGGAAUUCCUAGUGUAGCGGUGAAAUGCGUAGAUAUUAGGAGGAACACCAGUGGCGAAGGCGGCUUACUGGACUGUAACUGACGUUGAGGCUCGAAAGCGUGGGGAGCAAACAGG
rnacentral:rRNA from 1 species